AAUAUUAUCCAAAUACAUAGUGAAGGUAUAAUUCACUUCUGGCAUACUGAUUGGGUUUACCUGAGUCAGAACAAUGUGAUUGAGGCUUACCCUGAGUUUGUCCUGACCUACCUAGAGGAACUAAAUGAAAGAGGAGGUGACCCAGACAGAAAACCGCAUUCACCAUGGGGCCUGAUCUGCAGCUCAUCAGGAGAUAGACAGCAGCUCAGCAGAAGAGAUUCUGCAAAAAAAUGUCAGCAACCCCAAUCAGAAACAACUUUCAGGACCUUUGGACGCCCAUUUAAUGCCUGCAGAUCCCCUAGGGGAGACUACACAGCUGACAGUGGCACUGGUGAGGAAACUAGAAGAGAAACAUCCUAAGGCCUCAGCUCAAAGUCCUAUUUAGGAUAAUGGCAUGCUUGAACUGUUCGUUUCCCAUCACCAUGCUGUCUGAAGCAGGAAGCCCACGCGGCAAGCUGUGAGAGAUUUCCUCUUCUUGAAGGUGGGCUUUUUA
rnacentral:lncRNA from 1 species